GACGAACGCUGGCGGCGUGCCUAAUACAUGCCAGUUGAGCGCUGAAGGUUGGUACUUGUACCAACUGGAUGAGCAGCGAACGGGUGAGUAACGCGUGGGGAAUCUGCCUUUGAGCGGGGGACAACAUUUGGAAACGAAUGCUAAUACCGCAUAAAAACUUUAAACACAAGUUUUAAGGUUGAAAGAUGCAAUUGCAUCACUCAAAGAUGAUCCCGCGUUGUAUUAGCUAGUUGGUGAGGUAAAGGCUCACCAAGGCGGUGAUACAUAGCCGACCUGAGAGGGUGAUCGGCCACAUUGGGACUGAGACACGGCCCAAACUCCUACGGGAGGCAGCAGUAGGGCAUCUUCGGCAAUGGACGAAAGUCUGACCGGGAAACGCCGCGGGAGUGAAGAAGGUUUUCGGAUCGUAAAACUCUGUUGGUAGAGAAGAAAGUUGGUGAGCGUGGAAAGCUCAUCAAGUGACGGUAACUACCCAGAAAGGGACGGCUAACUACGUG
rnacentral:rRNA from 1 species